AUGGCUUCCACCUGCAACAACUCCUCAUCGUUCAAGAGCGCCGACAUCGACGAGAAGGCCAUCAGGAGGGAGAAGCCGGAGGAGCUGGUCAAAGCCUUGGCCGAGGCCAAGGCCGACGCCAUUCAACUGAACCUUCGUAAUCGAGACAGCAGAGAUCUGCCUACCCUUCUGAUCACUUCUGACCAGGUUAAGGUGAGCAAAGGGAUGAUACGGGAGAGGCCGACGAGCACGGAGGAAGCCAGGGAAUUCAUCAAGGGGUACUCGGGUGAUGUAGCGUUUGCAGUGAAUUAUAUCCUCGUGACCAACCUGAGCACCGGGGGUAGGAAAGGGGGUUGGGAUAUACCUGAGGUGAAGGAAGGAGGCAUGACUUGCGUGGCUGGGGGCCUCAGGCUCAUGCAUCCAUCAUCUUUGCCGUUCAUCAAGGAACUAGUCGGUACGAUGGAUAGCGUUCGAGGACUUCCCAAGAACCUCACCGAGAAGCUCAUUCGAGAAUCCCUACAAGAAACUGUUGAAAUGUAG
rnacentral:rRNA from 1 species